CCUCGCCUGGCUGCUGCCGCUGGGGGGGUGGAGGGAAGGAAGGGGGUAAAAAAGGGUUAAGAAACUUGGCUGAAGAGAUGAAUGGCACAGCGCGGAGCGGGGAGGGGCUGGGCUGCGCCGCGCCGCGCCGGGCGAGGGGGAAGGAGGGGAGGAUCACGGCUGCGGGUUAGGCUUUGAAAGUCAGCCUCGCAGGCAUUGCAGCAGAGCCCCGAACCGCGGAGGGGAGCGGCGCAGCGCGGCGCGGAGCUCUCCGUAUCAAGCAUGGAACUGUUUAGGAAGAAAAUUAACGCAUCCUUGGAGUCCUGAAGGAAGAGCCUCCCUGAUGGGACCACUUUCAAGGAAGUUUAUGUGCUUGAUGGAGAUGGAAAAAGAUGAAAAAAAGCUCGUUUUCUGGAGAAAGAGCGAUGUGAUUGAAAAUUUGUUUCAUCAAACUAUUUGCUGGAAGAAGUCUGCUUUGAAUGUAACACUUUGCAUUGUUUCAGUUUAUGAGAAAAAGCUGUAGACUUCUACAUGUUAUUUAUUAACUGCAUCUCAGUUGAGCUAAAGCAAUCUAGUCUUUGAAGUGAAUAGAAGCAGAGCCCU
rnacentral:lncRNA from 1 species